AUGCUCGUUCCAGCAGCACAUACACUAAAACUGGAACAAUCCAGAGAUUAGCAUGGCCCCUGCACAGGGAUGACACACAAAUUCAUGACGUCUUCCAUAUUUUU
ensembl:snRNA U6 U6 spliceosomal RNA